UCCUAUUCUCGCCCAGAGCUCGAGUACUUGAAGCUCUCAUACCCUUCUGCUCUUCCCUUCGUAUCCGACGCCGAGGAAAUAUGAGCAGGCGAGCCAGCCGAACCCUCUAUGUAGGAAAUUUGCCGGAAGAUAUUCGCGAGAGAGAGGUUGAAGAUCUGUUUUACAAGUAUGGACCCAUUGUUGACAUUGAUCUGAAGAUUCCUCCAAGGCCUCCAGGUUAUGCAUUCGUUGAGUUUGAAGAUGCUCGUGAUGCUGGAGAUGCUAUUCGCGGUCGUGAUGGUUAUAAGUUUGAUGGUCAUAGAUUACGGGUGGAAUUUGCACAUGGUGGAAGAGGCUAUUCUUCUUCCAUGGACCGCUACAGCAGUUACAGCAGCAGCAGUAGUCGUAGUGGUGUCUUGAGGCGCUCUGAAUAUCGCGUGCUGGUUACUGGUUUACCUUCUUCUGCCUCAUGGCAAGACCUGAAGGACCACAUGCGUCGUGCUGGUGAUGUUUGUUUCUCUGAAGUGUUUCGUGAUGGUCGAGGCACUACAGGCAUUGUAGAUUAUACAAACUAUGAUGACAUGAAAUAUGCGGUCAGGAAACUUGAUGACUCUGAGUUUCGGAAUGCAUUUUCUCGGGCAUAUAUAAGGGUAAGAGAAUAUGACUCGAGGCGAAGCCUAUCUAGGAGCCGCAGCCGUUCCAAUUCCAGAAGCCGAAGCCCUAGCUGCAGUCGCAGUUACAGCCGAAGCAGGAGCCGCAGCCAAAGCGAGUCUCCGAGAGGCAGGUCAGCAUCUCGCACAUUUUCCAGAUCUCGAUCAAGAUCUGCUUCAUCUCACUCUCGUUCAGGAUCAAAGGGAUGCUCUCUAUCAGGAUAUGAGCUUAUGGGGUGAUGGGAUUGCGUAGUAGGGACUUGAUGGGAUACUGUCCAAGUGCCUACAAUCUUUUGGUUGGUGAGGUAUUCUGUUCUACAAAAUAAGGUCUUGGAAACCUGACUUGAUUUUAUACCAUAUGUGGCAUGUGGCUUAUAGCUAAUAGCCAUCAGAGUAGAGUGGGACUGAAUGGAUGGGUUGUGAUUUAGAGCCGGAAUCCUCAGAACUAAGUGGAAUGGGAGCCACCAAACAGCGCUAGAAAGAUAUUCAUCAUUUCUUCUCCAAGAUGACCAUGCUAUUAGGAGUUGCACUCGGGAGUUUGGAUAUGGAUUUUGGUGGUACAGAUAGAGAAGUACUUCUUCAUUCCUUGAAUCCUACAUGUCGAUUCUGUUGUUUUAUCCAUAUGUUUUUGCUUUGUCUGGUAGCUAGCAGUUCUAUUAUAGUGUUCCUUCAUUGUGGCUGCCAUUUUCCAUGUCCUAUCCCUUGUAGUUUCUCCAUUUUGCAUUACAAUGAUUUAAAGAAUGAUCGAUGGAUUUAUUUUUUCUUAUGCUGCUAAAGUUAAAUUGAGUUUUUCUUCUUUCAAUAUGGUACUCUGACGUGGAAGAGGCAAGGCUUUUGGAUCAAGUUGAAAAAGCAACAUAGUGGAUAUUGUGGAUAUUGAAUUCAGUUGUUUCUGGAACUUUUGCAGAUCACAAUCAAGAUCCAGAUCACCAAUUGCUUCUCCCCCCUGGAACAAUCAAGUGAGCAGAAGCGCAAGGAAGCGGAGUCCUGGCAGGAGCAGGAGCUUAUCGUCACAUUCUCUCUCUCCGAUGUCCAAUCACAGCUGAUCUGUUGAUUCAAGUGAAUGUUUGAGAAGGAAGUGUUACUGCCCGAGCUUGUGUGGGCGUAAAAUUUUACAAAAGACACUAAAUUCUCAGGCAUUUGGUUAUGCUGUGAGAAAUGAUCUUAAAUGUUAACGAUGCUGAGAGUUGAUAUCAGGGCAUAAUGUUGUCUAUUUCAUAAAUAUGCAACUUUUCUUUGUACCAAAAAAAAUAUGCGACUUUUCUGUGCACUGGAUAAUUUAAUCGGGUAUUGAUCUUGUAGUUGGUGUGAUACUUA